UACGAAGGGGGCUAGCGUUGUUCGGAAUCACUGGGCGUAAAGCGCACGUAGGCGGAUGUGUCAGUCAGGGGUGAAAUCCCGGAGCUCAACUCCGGAACUGCCUCUGAUACAGCACGUCUUGAGUUCGAGAGAGGUGGGUGGAAUUCCUAGUGUAGAGGUGAAAUUCGUAGAUAUUAGGAAGAACACCGGUGGCGAAGGCGGCCCACUGGAUCGGUACUGACGCUGAGGUGCGAAAGCGUGGGGAGCAAACAGG
rnacentral:rRNA from 1 species